ensembl:lncRNA
GUGCAGGACUGCAUCCGCCUGAUGAGCUGUCACUGUUGUUGUCCCUCUCCAAGUGUCUCCGCCACAGUGGGGAUUUUGCAAAGCUGAAGGCUUUCCACUUGGUGCCUGUGGGAUUUUGGGCCAUCUGGAACAACAGCCUUGCUGACCUUGUUCCAGAGCCGAAUGGGGCAUUGAGAAAGGCCCGGUCAGCACAGCCACUUGGAGGCACGGUGCUCAGCAUCAGUGGACCUGCUCUGCUGUCUUUCUUGUGCUGGGGGCCCCAGAAGUGGAUGCAGUGCGGCAGGUGGAGUCUUGUGAGAGCAGAGUAGAGGAGCAGAAUCACUUCCCCUGACCUGCUAAUCACGUUUGUCUUAAUGCAGCACAGGAAACGCUUGGCCUUGGGGGCUGCAAGUGCACGGUGCCGGCUCAUGUUGAGCCUUUCAUCAGCCAACACCCGCAGGACACUUUCCUCUUCACAGUCCUCCAGCCACUCAUCCCCAAGCCUAUAGCGCUGCAUGGGCUUGUUGUGGCCAAAGUGCAGGACCCGCCACUUGGCCUUGUUGACCUCUCCAGUUAAUCAGGAGGGCUGGUAGAUGGCCGAGAGCGGCUUGGCAGUCACCUCUGCCAGCUCCCUCAGGAGUCUGUGGAGAGGCUCUUCCUGUCCCCCGUGCUGUGCGCUGUCUUCCUGCACUGCUGGCUCCUGACAUUUUUCACAUGGUGCUGCAUGAGGAUCGUCAUAAGUCUCUCCAUUAAGGUUAUGUAGGCGUCCAUCUGGCAGAGCAGGUCAAGAGCAUUUAGGUUGUCCGUUUCCUCUGUUCCUAAGGAAGCUGGGUCCGCUUGUCCCGUUCUCUGAAAGUGAGAGAGCAUGGGCACAGUGAAAGGGAGGCAGGCUUGUUUUGCAGAGUAUCACCCUGCAGGGCUCCGACUGGUGUGGAGCAUUUCCAGCCUCGCAGGACUGCUCAGGGCAGCCCGUGGGGCUCACACUGCCUGUGGCACACCCUGUGUUGCUCAGGGGCCUCCCACUGUGUGACAGCCCUGUGGCUGGGCAAGUGCCUGGGGAGAGGUAACGGAUCUCUGGGGUCUGAUUUCCUUGGAUGUGUUCAAGUAUAUGGCCUUUAUGGUUCCCUGCUCCCCAGCCACGGUACCCUCCCUGCCCGAUGUAUCUUGAUUGCUCACCUGUCCCCGAGGUCUUCUUAAUCUUCUCCAGUGGGCACGGGCAGUUGUCAGCAGCCAGAGAAUGGAGAAAAUUGUCAAGGGAGCUGUAAGGAGCCAGGUUCUCCCUCUUUGCAUAAGGUAGUCCCAAAGGUGGCCCAGGAUGCCAGGCAAGCUGUAGGCCUUCUGCUUGGUGCCUGGGGACUGCUGCUUUG